rnacentral:rRNA from 1 species
AACGAACGCUGGCGGCAUGCCUAACACAUGCCAGUCGAACGAGGCCUUCGGGUCUAGUGGCGCACGGGUGCGUAACGCGUGGGAACCUGCCCUUAGGUUCGGAAUAACUCCCCGAAAGGGGUGCUAAUACCGGAUAAUGUCUUCGGACCAAAGAUUUAUCGCCUUUGGAUGGGCCCGCGUUGGAUUAGCUAGUUGGUAGGGUAAAAGCCUACCAAGGCGACGAUCCAUAGCUGGUCUGAGGGGAUGAUCAGCCACACUGGGACUGAGACACGGCCCAGACUCCUACGGGAGGCAGCAGUGGGGAAUAUUGGACAAUGGGCGAAAGCCUGAUCCAGCAAUGCCGCGUGAGUGAUGAAGGCCUUAGGGUUGUAAAGCUCUUUUACCCGGGAUGAUAAUGACAGUACCGGGAGAAUAAGCUCCGGCGAACUCCGU